GCAUUAGUAGCUUAACUAAAAGCGCAGCACUGAAGAUGCUGAUAUAGAUUAAUUUCUCUUGUGCA
rnacentral:tRNA from 1 species